rnacentral:lncRNA from 1 species
UUUUUUCUUUUUUUUUUUUUGUCUUUUUAGGGCUGUACCUGUGAUAUAGGGAGGUUCCCAGCCUUAGAAAAGACAAAAACACACACACACACACAAAAAAAAUCUCAGUUUCUAUCACCAUAUUAAGAGUUGGUUUCUAACAGUGAAACCUAAUAAAAAGGUAAGCAGAAAAGAGCAUAUAUGCCCACAUGGGAGAUUUUCUUACAGGUUUCUGAAACAUGAAAUCCCCAGACUUAGGUGAAUAAGAAGAGAGGAGAGCAUCUGAUAUGUCACUUGAUAGCAUGACAGCUGACAUGGCCAUCCCAAACUUCCCAAGGGAACUGGGUUACACCCGUUAGAAAAAAAAAAAACACCAUUAAGUACUGGUUAUUCAAUGUGAAGACAGAAGGUGUAAGAAGUUUGGAAUGUAAAAGCAGGGAGAGUUUGUCUCCAUUACUGAAAAAUGAAGUCAAGCUAUAAAGAAAUAAUGCAACAUCGCCUUUGGAAUGGAUAUGCAAUGAGAUCCUGCUGUAUAGCACUGGGAACUACAUCUGGUCACUUAUGAUGGAGCAUGAUAAUGUGAGGAAAAAAAUGUAUACACGUAUGUGGAACUGGGUCACCUUGCUGCACAGUAGAAAACUGACAGAAUACUGUAAACCAGUUAUAAUGGAAAAAAUAAGAAUCAUUAUAAAAAAAAGAAAUGUGAACAGUAGUUUAAAAUUUUGGUUUCAUUUUAGCAAUUUAAAACAAGCACAGCUACUUCACAUUUGAAAUAGCACUUUCCAAUACAUGAAGUGAUUAUACAAAUGCCACCUUUAUUCCCCCACAAAACCUCUGUAAGAUUGUUAUUGUUGUGCCAAAUUACAGAUUCAGAAGCAAAGUAACAUCCAAGGUACCGAGCAAGUAUGAGACAGAAUCAGUAUUUGAACCUGGGCUUCUAACUCCAAAUCCAGGGCUAUUUUCACCAAGUCACCACUGCUUCUUCUCACCAAGAAUCCACACAGGUCCCUGAGUACUUUAGAUCUGUGUCCGUGUGAUUUAGGGGAAAAAAACUACAAAGGAAGGCUAUCUCCACCACACUUAAUGUUCCCAAAAUAAGAGCAGAAGAGCAUGAACAGGGAGGAGCAACCCAUCCUGGUGCGGCAACAUCCUAAGCAAGGGCUCUAGGAGCAAAGAACCAAGCCAAAGGAAGAACCAUAUGCCCCAGAAGGAAACCUAGGAGAGGGGUGGGCAGUCCUCAGCUCAGGGAGUUCAGCAUUUCCCCAGAGGCUGAUGACAAGCCAAAGGUAUGAUCAAAAAUAGGAAAGAGCAAGAGGAAAAAGGGCACUGUCUCACCACUGGCGGAAACUAGGUGAAGGGUGAACAGAAAGUCUCUGUACAAUUUUUGCAACUCCUUGUGAAUCUAUAACUAGUCCAAAAUGAAAAGAAGAAAGUGAAAAGAUGCCCAUGAUAUAGCCAGGCUCUUUGUCCUGGUUUCCAAAGUCCACCAAAUACCUAACGUGCUGGUCGAUCUGCUGGACAGGGCCUUCAUCGAGUUCCAGGUGCACGGGGAGGGGGGGGGGACAAGUGAAUAGUCUAUUCCAACAAGGAGUUUAUUUCAAUGCUUUCCUGGAAGAUCAGCUACUUCUCUGAUGACUCCUAGCAGAAAGAGGACAAGGAAAGACUACAACAGUGAAGCAGCUGCAGGGGUGCCCCUAGGCAGAGCUCUGUCUUAGGUGUUCAGCACCAUGAAAGCACAGGCUCUGCUACUAUCUCUCACCCCCGGUCAUUACUUGCUUCCAUCCCUUGCUCCAGAAAGAUGCAGGCUGAAGACACAGAAUCUGAUAGACUGAGGCCUACCGGCACAGGGCCUUCAAUGAUAAGGAGCCCUGUGCUUGCUGAAGAAAGAAAACUGAAAUGAGGGCUUUAGGGAUGUGUUUAUUACUGACUCUAACUAGGUUCUCAUCAGGAUUAGCUUCAAAUUGUUUCAGGGCAUUCUAAGUGACCUGGCAGAGAAAAAUAAUCUGUAACAUCAGCUGAGUAGUGACAAGGACACUGCAAAUACAACUUCCGGUACUGCUUCCAACCCAUCCCCCAUUCAACCAAUUUCAGGCACAGAGACUUUAAAUCUGGACCUUAUGAAGUUUACACAUAACAGCUAUUUAUUUCUCAGAUCAACUGUAUAAGAACACUACUAUUAUUACUAAAAUGACAUUUUUACAUUCAUAUUUUAUGGAUUCAGGGAAAAAAAUUCCAAAAGUACAAAAAGUGAUCUGUGCCUUGACUGUGUUAGUAUGUACUGAACUGUAUAUGCAGAUGCUCAGUUUCCAAAUUUAGUUGUGACUGCCUCAAUAUUUUUCCAACACUGACUUAUUCCUGCAAAAACCUAACUCUACUCCUACAUUUAAACAAAAAGAUCACUUAAGAAUGUAAUUGAAUAUAAUCAAAUACACAUUUUAAUACAAUGCUGAUGAGACUAAAAUUCAUAACUAUCUAGAAUAAUUUAGAAACUUCUAUCAAUGACCUUUAAAUAAGUGUUUUAAUCCAACAGGUCAAAAUCUAAGAAUUCACUUAAGGAAGUAAUUUGCCAAGUACACUAAAAUGUAUAUAUAAAGUUGUUCACUGUUCAUUGCAAACAUGUUGAGGAAAAUAAACGUUUAAGAGCAGGGGAAUCAAAAAGAUAUUACAGUACAUCCAAACAACAGCAUACCAUGCAGUCACUGCAAACCAAAGGAAAAAUACAUUCUUAAUGGAUAGAAAAAUAUCUACAAUCAUUUUUGUGAAAAAGCCACCUAGAGAACUGCAUGUUUAUAAUGUCCUUUCUGUUUAUAAAAUAAAAAGUAGUCACUUGUAUUCUGCAUGCAUAGAAAAAGUGAGGAAAGAAACAUACCAAAACAUUAACACUGUAUUUUCUACAAUGAAAAUGUACCAUUUAUGUAAUUUUUAAAAAUACAUGUUAAAUCCAGAAAUAAACCCACACACUGCACAAGAGAACUAUAUCCAAUCACUUGCGAUGGAUCAGGAUGGCAGAUAAUGUGAGAAAAAGAAUAUAUAUAUACACACACACACACACACAUAUAUAUAUAUAACUGGGUCACUUUGCUGUACAGCAGAAAUUGGCAAAACAUCGUAAAUCAACUAUAAUUUUUUUAAAAAGACAGAAAAAAAAUAGAUCAUGUGCAUAAUGGCCAGAUUUAGCAAAUAUCUAGACUAGGUUCCUUUGCUAACUAAAUUUAUCUUAUAAAUAAAUCCAAACCUCUUUUGAAUAAUUUUUUUUUUUUUUUUUUUUUUUUUUGCUUUUUAGGCCC